rnacentral:rRNA from 1 species
AGCCUGAACGCUGGCGGCGUGGCUAAGACAUGCAAGUCGUACGGUGUAGUAAUACACAGUGGCGAACGGGUGAGUAAUGAAUCGCUAAUGUACCCCGGACUCUGGGAUAGCUGCCUGAAAAGGGCAGGUAAUACCAGAUGAUAUACCUCUAUCGCAUGAUAGAGGUCUCAAAGGUCCGCCGGUCUGGGAGCAGGCGAUUUUGUAUCAGCUAGUUGGUGAGGUAAUGGCUCACCAAGGCGAUGACGCAUAGCCGGACUGAGAGGUUGGCCGGCCACAUUGGGACUGAGACACUGCCCAGACUCCUACGGGGGGCUGCAGUAACGAAUCUCCGCAAUGCACGAAAGUGUGACGGAGCGACGCCGCGUGUGGGACGAAGCCCUUCGGGGUGUAAACCACUGUCAGGGGACAAAAAGUUCUAGAUUAUCCCCAGAGGAAGGCACGGCUAACUCUGUGCCAGCAGCGCGU